AUUGAACGCUGGCGGCAGGCCUAACACAUGCAAGUCGAGCGAGCGGCGGACGGGUGAGUAAUGUCUGGGAAACUGCCUGAUGGAGGGGGAUAACUACUGGAAACGGUAGCUAAUACCGCAUACCGUCAGAGGUGGCCAGAUGGGAUUAGCUAGUAGGUGGGGUAAUGGCUCACCUAGGCGACGAGCCCUAGCUGGUCUGAGAGGAGGACCAGCUACACGGGAACUGAGACACGGUCCAGACGCCUACGGUAGGCAGCAGUGGGGAAUAUUGCACAAUGGGCGCAAGCCUGAUGCAGCCAUGCCGCGUGUCUGAAGAAGGCCUUCGGGUUGUAAAGUACUUUCAGCGGGGAGGCGUUACCCGCAGAAGAAGCACCGGCUAACUCCGUGCCAGCAGCCGCGGUAAUUC
rnacentral:rRNA from 1 species